rnacentral:rRNA from 1 species
UCAAUCCUACGGGGGGCAGCAGUGAGGAAUAUUGGUCAAUGGACGAGAGUCUGAACCAGCCAAGUAGCGUGAAGGAUGACUGCCCUAUGGGUUGUAAGCUUCUUUUAUAAAGGAAUAAAACGAGGCACGUGUGCCUUUUUGCAUGUACUUUAUGAAUAAGGAUCGGCUAACUCCGUGCCAGCAGCCGCGGUAAUACGGAGGAUCCGAGCGUUAUCCGGAUUUAUUGGGUUUAAAGGGAGCGUAGUUGGGUUGUUUA